rnacentral:rRNA from 1 species
AUGACCUUCCCGCUGGUGUGCUACUGCAACGCGGUGCCCCGGCCCAUCGCCGCCGUGUUCAGGUUCUUCCACGCCACCGCGCUGGCUUUCGUGCUCAUACUCUGCCUCCUCGGCCUCUACGAGUUCCCCUACACCCCCGAGGAGCACGCGGCACUCAUCAGCGGCCGCCGCCGCCGUCCCAACCGGGACGGCACGCUUCCGGAGACGGUGAAGCAGCGGCUGCCCCCCGUCGAGUUCGUCGUGCACCUGGCGGAGCGGUCGCGAUCGUCGACGUCUAAGAGCAGGGCGGCGCCGGCCGGUCGCCACGACGACGACGACGCGAGUACGUGCAGGGUGUGCCUGGAGCGGCUGGAGCUGACGGACGAGGUGCGGCCGCUGGGCAACUGCUCCCACGCCUUCCACAGAGGCUGCAUCGACCGGUGGAUCGACAUCGGCGAGGUGACGUGCCCGCUGUGCCGGUCCAACCUGCUGCCUCGUCAGCGCGGGGGGCUGCUCGCCAAUGCCAGGGCCCGGUUCAGCUAG